CUCACACCAGUAAGGAUGGCUACCAUCCAAAAGACAAACAACAACAAAUGUUGGCGAGGUUGUGGAGAAAGGGGAACCCUCUUACACUGCUGGUGGGAAUGUAAAUUAGUUCAACCAUUGUGGAAAGCAGUAUGGAGGUUCCUCAAAAUGCUCAAAAUAGAAGUACCAUUUGACCCAGGAAUUCCACUCCUAGGAAUUUACCCUAAGAAUGCAGCACUCCAGUUUGAAAAAGACAGAUGCACCCCUAUGUUUAUCGCAGCACUAUUUACAAUAGCCAAGAAUUGGAAGCAACCUAAGUGUCCAUCAGUAGAUGAAUGGAUAAAGAAGAUGUGGUACAUAUACACAAUGGAAUAUUAUUCAACCAUAAGAAGAAAACAAAUCCUACCAUUUGCAACAACAUGGAUGGGGCUAGAGGGAUAUUAUGUUCAGUAAAAUAAGUCAGGAGGAGAAAGACAGGUACCAAAUGAUUUCCCUCGUUUGUGGAGUAUAACAACAAAGCAAAACUGAAGGGACAAAACAGCAACAGACUCACAGACUCCAAGAAGGGACUAGGGGUUACCAAAGGGGAGGGGAGGGGUGGGGAAGGGUGGAUGGGGAGGGAGGGAGAAGGGGAUUCAGGGGUAUUACGAUUGGCACACAUGGUGUGGGGGAGAUCCUGGGGAAGACAGUGUACCACAGAGAAGGCAAAUAGUGACUGUGGCAUCUUACUACACUGAUGGGCAGUGACUGUAAUGGGGUAUGUGGGGGACACGAUAAUGUGGGUGAAUGUAGUAGCCACAUUGUUUUUUCACAUGUGAAACCUUCAUAAGACUGUAUAUCAAUAAUACCUUAAUAAAUAAAUAAAUAAAUAAGAAAAAACAUGCUGUAGCUCUGUUGACAAAAAAAACAAACAAAACCUUGGGCAUUUUGGCCAAUAUACCUGUAGAAUGUAGUGACAAAUAUGUCAAUUUUGUAUAAACUGUCAUCAACAUUAAACAGUUAUAAAUAUAAGAGUUUUGAAUUGACAACAGUGCAAUUUAAAUUUCAGAAUGAACAAUCCUGUUUUACAAAAAAAUUUAAAAGAAAUUGUGGUUUUUUCCCUAAGAAUAUAUCCAAAGAGCAAAUUCUAUGAAUCAGCUUCAACAGAUUUUUUUUCCAAGUGACCUACCACUUAUUAAGCAAAGAAGUUCUCUGCCUCUUAGUCACUUCUCACAAUCGUUAUACACAGUAUUUACUAUUUACAGGUAUCCCCCAAUUUUUUUCAAAAGUUCACGUUACACUACUUCAUUUUACAGAAGAUCUAUGUUAGUACCUAUUUUCACUACAGGAAAGAAAUGGAAGAGGACUAUCGCUUUUACAAAAAGGGGUGAAAAAUGAAAAUAGCAUUCAGCAUUCGUUUUGCGCUGAGUCAUUACAGAGGCAGCAUGUAGCCCACGGAGCAGUACCACAGAGUGGUACUGCCAAACUCCCUCCCUGGAAAGUAAAUUAGCAUCAGGGCACCAGGGCAUUGACCCUUGUCUGUAUCUGUGCUUUAUCUCAAUUUAUCUGUGCAUCUGUUAGCAAGAUUGUCCUAAGGUAUCAAAAAAACCUAAAAGAGGAUAUUUUUGGGGUCUAGGAAUGCUCAAGAUUUUUUCCAUAUAAAUUAAUAGUAACUGCUUCUUCACUUUACACCAUUUUAGUUUACAAAACAUUUCAUAAGGAGUCUACUUUCAGAUAUGGGGAGAACCUGUAUGUAUAUGCAUUUAUUUUAGAAACUAAUCCCAUUGAUUUCUAAAUUUGAUGUAUUUCCAAAUAUUUAUUAAUUUAUUUUAUGUGCAAAGAGAAAAGGAAAUAUAAAGAAAAGAGAUACAGAGAUUAAGGAAGAAAGAUGAAUGAGAAGUUCUAUCAUGCAAAAUCAAGUCAUUCCUGAAAGAACAAUCUUGGCAGAAUCCUGUGCUGCAUUACUGGACCAAACAUUUGAAGAUCCUGUAUAUUCUGCCAUCUGAGAGCAAGCAUCCUUUCAGCUGCUUAUUUCAUAAUCCAGUAAAUAUUAACAGCAACAGUAUCAUCACUAUCAUUGCUUAUACUUCUGUUCUUGAGUCACAGAACCCAGGCAUUGGCAGCAGCAUAACUUGACAACAAUCCUUCCUGUUUCUUAAUACAGCCUUUAUUUUUUACCUUCUUUUCUAAUUGUAGUUCAAAAUAGUUGAUUUCAUCGGGAUUACUUAUUAAAUAUCUGAAAAAAUAUGGAUUGGCUAAUUUAGGUACAGUAAUUACUAAAGGUAUUUUUAUCUAAACAUCUUCAUAUAGUUCUUUUUUGCCUGCUUUUAUUUUAUUUUUAUUAUUUUGGUAUCAUUAAUCUACAAUUACAUGAGCAACAUUAUGUUUACUAGACCCCCCCAUCAUCAAGUCUUCAUAUAGUUUUUUUAAAUAAUUUUUACCAUGUCUGAGAUAAUACAUAAACAUUUCUAAAUCAUUUAACAGGACUGAACCUCCUACUUUUUCUAAAACAAAAGUUGUAUCUUCAGGAAAAGACAAAAAAGGAAAAAAACUGUCUGGGUCACCAACUUCUCUGGCCCACAUCAAUUUACUUUUUAUUAAUGUGACUCUAUUAGAAUACUCUUCUCCAUUAAUUUACGUUCUCUUGUUUCUAAGAGAUCAGAAUCUUUGGAUAAUUCAAUCUUUUUAACAGUUUUAAGUCUUAACCAAAACAACUCAUUCAGGUUGAACUGUCACCUAUGAGACCUACUUUUGUUUUUGAAAAAUUAGUCCCACAGAUUUACAGCCUAAUAACUCCUAUCUAAAGUCUUCUCACCUAAUGUGGAAAAUCCUAAUUUCUAUUAACCUUUCCCACUUACAAACUUACCCUUACCUCUCACCAGUAAAAUGUACCUAUCUUUGAUUUGGAUAUGUUGUAUUAAACAUAAGUUUUUUGUCUAAGGAGAAAGGGGCCAAAAAGAAUGUUAUCUUUUAGGUAGACUAUACAUUGCUAGCUAUUAAGCCACAGUCUUGAAACUGUUUCUCAAUAGCUAUAUAUGUGGAUUUCUGAUCUACUUUUUUUAACAUUCCAAAAUCUAUGUUAAUCCACAGCAAAAACCUAUACAUAGUAAUUGUACAAAUAAAAAUUGGUUGUACAAGUCUCAAUGGAAAAUAGCUUUAUUACUUUUCCCAUAUUUGUUUUCCUUUUGAAAUUCCAUCUCUAAAAAUUGCUGGAAAAUAAUCCAUAAUGUUUUAUUGUUUGUAUCCUGAUAGAUUCUCUUUCCAGAACAGAAACCAGAUCUAGAUAAAGUAUCGAACAUAGUAAGUAUAAUAAAAAAUAUUAUUGCUGAAGAUAACUGUUAAGUUUCCAAAAGUAAACAGUAAGUAGAAUUUUAGUACACUGACCACCGAACAUAGGUGAUAUAUUAACUAAAUCACUUUUAAAAGAUUACUGUAUUAAACACUGAUAGAAAAAUGACCAGAUUAAAGGCUUUUUCAAUAACUAUUGCCAAAGAUUUAUGGACUUCUUAAUGCCCAUCCAUAAUGAAAGCAUCAUUUUAUUGUGCUCAGAUAAGCUAAUCAAUGCUCAUUUAUACAAGUUAAACUUUGCCAGCUUCCUUACUAAGUGAACACAUAUGAGAAGUUUAGUAUGUAUUUAUAUCAUUAAUUGUGCAAUAAAAAAGACAUUUCAACAGAAGAACAUAUUCACAACAUUUAUGUUGCUGACACUUAGUGAAGGCAAAAGGGCUUCCUGUUUUAUUUUGAUGGAAAUUUCUCCCCAUUACCUUUGUCACAUCUUCCUGUGUCUACUAAUGAAGCAUUUUGUCUAAGGUCAGCAAUGUCUGAAUUACUGUUUGAAAUAAAAACUAGUGUAUCAUUUUUAAAAUUGGCCAAACUGCUCCUUCCCUUUCUCAGCAAUUAUACACUACUCAGCAACUUCCCUUUCCAUCAUGUUAUAAAAUAUGUAUUGCCAACUGCACCAAAUCUAAGUCAUAGUCGGGUUAGAACUGAGAGGCAUUUAGCAAAAAUUCAGAGAUCCUAAAUCCUGACCUCAAUCUGCUUUACUUUGUUCCCCGUCAACCCUCACUUGAGGUCUCUGGGAAGGAUAAAAGGUCACACGCCUAUACACUGUUACUAUAGGGCUUUUAUUACAAACUUCAAAGUGCCCUAGUGAACUAGGCUGGUCCAGAUGGAGGACUGUACAACUUAAGGCCUUGAAUCACUACCACUUGGAUAUCCUUUGGGGUCUUUCCUCUUCUAAACCUAUGUUCAAAUCUCAGCCAAUAGUGAAAAAAGGCCAGUCUAGGAACAUAUGAAGGAAAACUAAGCCAGUGGAAUCAUUCAGCUCAGAAACCUAUUAGCUCUGAAUAUCAUUGACAAAACUAAAAAAUGAAAAGAAAAAAGAAAGACAAAUAUGACCACAAUGCUGAAGAGAAGAUGACAAGGCAUUCUAGGCCGGGGAAUUGAAAGAGUAAUCAUGUUAUCUUUUAUGGUAAGAUUAUGGAUAGAGAAACCAGAGCUCUUUAAUGUAAUAAAAAUCAAGCCAUCAGUAGCUGGAAACAGAGGAGGGGGCAACUUGGUGAACCCAAAUAGUAAAGUAUAAAAGACAGGAAUAUGCUUUAAUGUUUAAGAUUAAAGAGCACAGGCUUUUGAAUACCAAUUCUGUGUCUACUACCACUCUUUAGCUGAGUGACCAUGAAUGAAAUCCCUACUCUUUUCCAAUCUGCUUCUCUACCCAUAAAAGAUGUUAACAUCAAAGGGCUCUUCUUGUAUGGCACGUAGUAAAUGCUCAAUAUAUGGUAGCUUUUAAGAAAUAAUAGCAAAGCAAAACAAAAAUAAAAACUUGUCUUCUUCAUAUUUAGAUAGUAUCUUACAUCUUUAAAUUUAUGAACCAUUUGAUGGAAAUGGGAGGUGAGAAGAGGGAGAUGGUACUAUGUAAAAGGUUGCAAAAAAAAGAUCAAUACUAAAUAAUGAUGUCUGGGAUUUACUUCAAAAUAAUGUAGUGGGAACAAAAUAAUGGCCAUUAGUUGAUGUAGCUGGGUGUUCACUGUACUAUUCUUUCUAUUUUUGUGUAUGUUUAAAGUUUUCCAAAAUGAAAAAAUUUUUAAUUACUUUCUCUUUAAUUAAUAUGGCUACACAAGAAAACAAGUUCUAAUCUACCUUUGAUAAACCAUGAAUCUAAGAGUUGGAAAGAAAAGUAAAAAGAGAACAGAGGGUAAGCAUAGAAGUAAAUACCUACGAAUGACUUACCUAGAAAACAUGCCUACACUGAUUGGGAGGAAAGGGAGUAUUCGGGUAAUCUGCCCAUGCAUUGGGAAUUUUUUUUUAAUGCGAAAAAAAGGAGCAAACUGAACAUAAGCAUGUCUUAGUUAAAUAAAUUCAACAACUCUUUCCUCUAAACACAUCAUACACUUUAUAAACCAGUAAUUCUAAAUGUACUAAAUGGAGUGUGUUGCUUAUGCAAUAUCAGACAUGAAUUCUACUGAAAAAUGACAUAAAUUUCUCUGUGGUAAAUUCUCAUUUUCACAUGUGGGAUUUUCUUUUUACCAAGCAAAAUACACCCUGUAGAUCCUUUCAAAAUUAGUUCUUCCUUCCCUUUAUAUUGAGAGUUUAGGGGAGGAAAAACAUUCCUUCAUCACUGGAAGCCUCUAAAAAGUCAGUAAAAAAAUGUACUUAAUAGGGGGGAGAACCCAAGAUGGCGGCGUGAGUAGGGCAGCGGUAAUCUCCUCUAAAAACCAUGUAUAUUUUUGAAAAUACAACAAAUA